UUCACGCAGACCUGGAGCCGAAAGCAGCAGCGGGCAUGGCGCUGUACGAGCCAGAUGGGUGAUGGAAGAGAUCUUUGAGAAGUCAGGAAUUGCAGGAAGAUUUGUGCGUGGCAUGGAUUGGAGGGCUGCAAUGCCUGGAGAUAACGUGCAUGAUAAGCAUUCGAGGGCAGCAGUGCAUGGAGAUGUGUGCCUGAGAGGGGUUUGGAGGGCAGCAAUGCAUGAAGUAUUCCUGUGACUGGAAUUGGUGGGCAAUAUGGGCACCCGUGCAUGGAGAUGUCUGCAUGGCAGGAAUUGGAAAGAGAAUGAAGACCUUUUCCCCAUGAAGAGAUGGCAUCAGUCAGUUGUUUGAUGCAUCGAAGAGCAACAGAUUAACAGCUUUAGAAAUGGAAGCCUCCACCUCUCGAAAACUUUAUUAAACCAGUAAUGUUCAAAGCUGAAAAAGUACCUGAGUUGCCAAAAUCAGCGUCAAGAUUUGAGGAGGCAUAUUACUGGGAUGGCAGAGGUAUUCACCCAGAGCACCGCACUGAUCUGAGUGGUUCUCAGCCCAGGCUGACUGUCUCUGGUGGUGUGGCCCCCUUUGCCAGUCAGCAGGAGAAAGCACUCCAUUCCUCUGCAGCACCGCUAGAUCUCUGCCAGCGAUUAAGGUGCUAGUUUACCUUUCUGGGCCUUUGGGAGAAAAAUAUAGGGACUGCAGAAUGAAGUGCGGAUCGUGGCUUACAGUGACUGAACAGAUGUGCAGCUGGGGUUUAAAUAAGGCACAUGGACAUCAAUUUUGCAAAUUCCAAGCACGGGUGAGCAUUUUCACCUCCUUUCAUCUCGUAUCAAGAGACAGACAUGAGGGGCGGUUGAAUAAUUAACAAGAUGAACAGUGGAUGAUUAUGUAAGAAAAGUUGCUGUGGACCUUGACGCCAUGAAUCACACUGGGAAAAAUACUGUCUAAAAAUGUGAGAAUUAUACCAUGUGAGCAAGAUUAGGUAUUACUGUAUAAUAUGCAUUUCCUCCAAUAAAGAUCCUGUGCAAGUGAAGAACAAUGAAUGUGCAAUCAGCAUAAUUAUUUUAUCCUUUCCUUGUAAAAUAAAUCCUGUUAUAAUUGAUGAAUUGUUAUUCAUACUAAUGUAGAAUAUUAAUUUUUGAAAGUCAGUUCUGUGGGGAUGAAGGUUGCACAAGCAUAAAGGUUCACAAAAGGCAUCUAAUACCAUUGUACAGGGCUUGCCUUUGGUGCUUGAAACUUUUCUUUUGAUGAUAGCUAUAACUCAUGAGAAUCCAUGAUUUCCUGUUGUAUCUCUAUCAAACUGCUCAGAAAUGAAUCCAGAAUAAAACCCGAGAAAUUAUACAGCUUCAGAUCAUAUGGCUAAUGAGACUACUGUCAGAAAUGUUAGGAACAAUGUAUAACUAAGUUCGAACCAAAUGCCUAUUCUGAAGAACGGUCACUGGCCUCAAAGCAUUAAUUCUGUUACUCUCUCCAGAACUUCUGAGUUUUUCCAGUAUGUUUGUUUCAGAUUUCCAGCACCUGGGCUAUUUUGCUUUUAUUCAACUUAGAUAUUGCAUGUUAAGAGGAGGGAGACAUAGCCUUAGUUUAAGUUUAUGGCAUCGUCCUUGUGAGUUUGAUGCUGAGAAAUCUGGAAGCAUUUUUUUAAAACAUGCAUUUUAAUCAGGUUGAACAGUGAAGUAUAAAGAUAAAGGCUGGUAGUUAAUGUAUUAAAAAAUGAGGAAAAUAAAUGCUGCUAUUGCUUAGUGACCAGGGUCCAGGGACACAGAGGAAAAAAAACGUCUAGAAGUGUCUGUGUGCCAUCAUGUGGAAUCAGAAUUGUAAAACUCCCCGGUAUGAAAUGCAAAAAUUUUGAAACUGAAUUUUGUGAACUCAUGUUUGCUCUAAAGUUAAAGUCACAUUAAUUUAGUUGGCAGUUUGUUAUAGUGCCUUAAGGAAGAUACACGAGCUGAAGAGGUCAGGAAUACAGAGAAAUUCACUGCAAGGAAAGUGGUUGCAGUUGUGCUAGCCUGAGCAAAGGCCUUAGUAAUGAGAUAGUGGUAGAUCUCUACUAUGUUUUGCUGUAUGUAAGCAUAUUGA